UUUGUUUACAAAAGAACGAGGUUUAGAUAGAAGGGGGGGAAAGAGAGAACAAUUUAAUUCCUUCUCUCAAAGGAUUAGUGCCCUUGAUAAAAGUGAACAGAGAGGCUGGGGGAGGAAAUUCCUCUCCUAGGGUUGAUAGCAGCCCAGACACAGAGGCCAGUCUGGCUUCCUUCCCACCACACACCAGCCAUGGCCAAAGGCCCAGUCGGUAUCAGCCUCAGCCCUGGCUCUGGAGUGAGGAUGGUGCUGACCUGCGUGGCCUGACUGGCAAGCACGCAGAAAAAGGCACCAAUGAAGUAGAAGACCCUGGAGUAGGCAUGUCCAGAUGGCAUCACUUGGUUAGAGAUGUGCCACAGUAUCUUCACGUCCUCAAGAUUGUUGGCAUUUUUGCUCAGGCCCCUGUCACAGGCACGCAGCAGCAUGAUGUUUUUGGGAGUGGAAAUGAAGACAGUUUUAUAAGAAAGCAACUUUCUCUUGUGAGAACACAGCUGGCUCUUCAGCCAUGAGUUCUAGUUUGAAUCUGCCAGCCCUUCCCAUCUGUUUGACAUUCCACAGCUUUGUGGGUGGAGACCAGGCAUUUUUGAGUGGAGUGUCCCCCACCCCUAACCUGGAACUUGGUGCAACAUUGGAAGGUAAAGGUGGAGUUUCCAAGAGAACAGCAUUGAAGGAGGGCUGGGAAAGCACAAGACAGGAAGAGUCUGUGCCAAAAGACCCUGGAUAGGAAGAAACACAAGAAAAAAUUUAUCCAAAGUCAAGAUUGAGUGGGAGCCCAGAGGAACGUUGCAUUCAAAUGACAAAGAAUAUGAAGCCGAUAGGGAUAAAGUGAGUAACCCAAGGUCACAAGACAAGAGAGCUGGUCCAGGACAAGAACUUGGUGCUCAUGUCAGGUUCUCUCUGCCACAUCUUGAGAAUACGUGCAUCCUUUGCCUUUUAAGACUCCAUCAGCCUCGAAGUUCAUUUGUGUGGCACUAAAAGUAAACCAAAAGCAGGAAGCUAAGGAUCUUUCACCUCUAAUGCACCCUGACCUUGGCUAUUUCAUGUCAGGGUCUGUGCAGUCUAAGCCCAGGCAGCCAACAUGCUUGGAGGAUACUUCAUGUAGUGGUACCUACAGCUCUUUCCAGAAGGCCAUGAAAAUCGAAUUACAUGGUGGGCUUGACUGAGACCAAUGUCUGAGACUUGUCCUUCUGAAGAAGUGGAUGUCUGCUGCCCACUUGUGAGAAUUGCUUGCAGCCAAACAAGUAUGAGCCACAAAGAAGUGCUACACAGCCAAUAUAUCACACCACACAUGAUGACUCACAUGUGAUUUGAACUUGUCUCUAUUUGGUUAAAUCUGGGCUCACGAAUACUUGAGAGACAAGGCCUCACUCUGUUGCCCAGGCUGGAGUGCUGUGAUGCGAUCAUGGCUCACCGCAACCUCAACUUCUUGGGCUCAAGCAAUCCUCCUGCCUAAGCUUCCUGAGAAGUGGGGACCACAGUUCCUUGCUUUGAUGAAGCAAGCUGCCAUGUUGGAGACAAAUGACUGAGGACAAUGUCCGGCCAACAAGCAGAAAGGAAAUGAAUCUACCACCAACUAUGUGGACAUGGAAGUGGAUUCUUUUCCUGUUGAGCCUUCUGAUGACUCCAGCUCAGCCGAUGCCUUGAUGCAGCUAGGUGAGAGACCUCCAGCUAGGUGACCAGCCAUCCAGUUGGCCCUGGACUGAGGGAAGUGGCUGGGAUGCAGGGCUUUCUAUUGUCUAACUGAUGCAGUUUCUAGAAACCCAUCCCAGCAUGCCUGGAAAUGAAUUUUUUGGGAUGAAGUCUUUUUGGUGCUAAGACAGGGAAAAUCCUGGGCAAAUUCUGAUGAGUUGUUCAUCUUACGCAAGAGACCCAGGUAACCUGUGCCUGGAUUCCUGAUCCACCGAAAUCAUGAGCUAAUACAUAUAGGCUGUUUUAGGCUGCUAAUUCCUGUGGCAAUUUGUUGCCGGCAAUAGAUAGGGAGAUGGGAAGGGAUUG
rnacentral:lncRNA from 10 species